UACGGAGGGAGCUAGCGUUAUUCGGAAUUACUGGGCGUAAAGCGCACGUAGGCGGCUUUGUAAGUUAGAGGUGAAAGCCUGGAGCUCAACUCCAGAACUGCCUUUAAGACUGCAUCGCUUGAAUCCAGGAGAGGUGAGUGGAAUUCCGAGUGUAGAGGUGAAAUUCGUAGAUAUUCGGAAGAACACCAGUGGCGAAGGCGGCUCACUGGACUGGUAUUGACGCUGAGGUGCGAAAGCGUGGGGAGCAACAGG
rnacentral:rRNA from 1 species